AUGGCUCAGGAUGAACGCUAGCUACAGGCUUAACACAUGCAAGUCGAGGGGCAGCAUGAUCGAAGCUUGCUUGAUGAUGGCGACCGGCGCACGGGUGAGUAACGCGUAUCCAACCUUCCCUAUAGUAGAGAAUAGCCCGGCGAAAGUCGGAUUAAUGCUCUAUGUUGUAUUUAGAAGACAUCUGAAGAAUACCAAAGGUUUACCGCUAUAGGAUGGGGAUGCGUCUGAUUAGGUAGUAGGCGGGGUAACGGCCCACCUAGCCGACGAUCAGUAGGGGUUCUGAGAGGAAGGUCCCCCACAUUGGAACUGAGACACGGUCCAAACUCCUACGGGAGGCAGCAGUGAGGAAUAUUGGUCAAUGGACGGAAGUCUGAACCAGCCAAGUAGCGUGCAGGAUGACGGCCCUAUGGGUUGUAAACUGCUUUUAUGCGGGGAUAAAGUUCACUACGUGUAGUGUUUUGUAGGUACCGCAUGAAUAAGGACCGGCUAAUUCCGUGCCAGCCGCCGC
rnacentral:rRNA from 1 species